rnacentral:rRNA from 1 species
UACAGAGGCCUCAAGCGUUGUUCGGAUUCAUUGGGCGUAAAGGGCGCGUAGGCGGCGGGGUAAGUCGGGUGUGAAAUCUCAGAGCUCAACUCUGAAAUGGCACUUGAUACUGCUCUGCUAGAGGACUGGAGAGGAGAUUGGAAUUCACGGUGUAGCAGUGAAAUGCGUAGAUAUCGUGAGGAAGACCGGUGGCGAAGGCGGAUCUCUGGACAGUUCCUGACGCUGAGGCGCGAAGGCCAGGGGAGCAAACGGG